UAACGCGUGGGAAUCUGCCCUGGAGUGGGGGAUAACCCGGCGAAAGCCGGGCUAAUACCGCAUACGUCCUGAGGGAGAAAGAUUUAUCGCUCUAGGAGGGGCCCGCGUCGGAUUAGCUAGUUGGUGAGGUGACGGCUCACCAAGGCGACGAUCCGUAGCUGGUCUGAGAGGAUGAUCAGCCACACUGGGACUGAGACACGGCCCAGACUCCUACGGGAGGCAGCAGUGGGGAAUAUUGGACAAUGGGGGCAACCCUGAUCCAGCAAUGCCGCGUGAGUGAUGAAGGCCUUAGGGUUGU
rnacentral:rRNA from 1 species